AACGAUACCGAAGAAAUCUGUGGGUGUCUCCAAAGCCGAGAUCGAAAUUGAUCCAAGAAGAAGAAGAAGAAGAAGAAAGAGAAGAGAGAGAAGAGAGAGCCUAAUCUUCAGUCAAAAUUUAAGUGAUCUAAUAUACAGAUCAAGCCCGAGCCGAAUAACAAGGAGUCAAGUAGAGCUCACGAGUUCUCAAACAAAACUCUUGAUAAAAGAUUCUUAAGUUUUCAUCUACCA
rnacentral:lncRNA from 1 species